rnacentral:rRNA from 1 species
AUACGGGGGGUGCAAGCGUUGUUCGGAAUUAUUGGGUGUAAAGCGCGUGUAGGCGGUUUGAUUAGUCUGAUGUGAAAGCCCUGGGCUCAACCCAGGAAGUGCAUUGGAAACUGUCAGACUUGAAUACGGGAGAGGGUAGUGGAAUUCCUAGUGUAGGAGUGAAAUCCGUAGAUAUUAGGAGGAACACCGGUGGCGAAGGCGGCUACCUGGACCGAUAUUGACGCUGAGACGCGAAAGCGUGGGUGGC